rnacentral:pre_miRNA from 1 species
UUGGGGAGGCCGGAUCCUGGGCUGUGUCCCGGCGCCCUGUGCUCCGGGGCCUGCGCUGUUGGAGUCACGCUCCCGCCCCGCAGCCCCCU